UACGGAGGGAGCUAGCGUUGUUCGGAAUUACUGGGCGUAAAGCGUGCGUAGGCGGCUUUGUAAGUUAGAGGUGAAAGCCCGGAGCUCAACUCCGGAAUUGCCUUUAAGACUGCAUCGCUUGAAUCCGGGAGAGGUGAGUGGAAUUCCGAGUGUAGAGGUGAAAUUCGUAGAUAUUCGGAAGAACACCAGUGGCGAAGGCGGCUCACUGGACCGGCAUUGACGCUGAGGUACGAAGGCGUGGGGAGCAAACAGG
rnacentral:rRNA from 1 species